UAAACGACUCUCGGCAACGGAUAUCUCGGCUCUCGCAUCGAUGAAGAACGUAGCGAAAUGCGAUACUUGGUGUGAAUUGCAGAAUCCCGUGAACCAUCGAGUUUUUGAACGCAAGUUGCGCCCAAAACCAUUAGGUCGAGGGCACGCCUGCCUGGGCGUCACAC
rnacentral:rRNA from 1 species